AGUGAACGCUGGCGGUAGGCCUAACACAUGCAAGUCGAACGGCAGCACAGUAAGAGCUUGCUCUUACGGGUGGCGAGUGGCGGACGGGUGAGGAAUACAUCGGAAUCUACUUUUUCGUGGGGGAUAACGUAGGGAAACUUACGCUAAUACCGCAUACGUCCUACGGGUGAAAGCAGGGGAUCUUCGGACCUUGCGCGAUUGAAUGAGCCGAUGUCGGAUUAGCUAGUUGGCGGGGUAACGGCCCACCAAGGCGACGAUCCGUAGCUGGUCUGAGAGGAUGAUCAGCCACACUGGAACUGAGACACGGUCCAGACUCCUACGGGAGGCAGCAGUGGGGAAUAUUGGACAAUGGGCGCAAGCCUGAUCCAGCCAUACCGCGUGGGUGAAGAAGGCCUUCGGAUUGUAAAGCCCUUUUGUUGGGAAAGAAAAGCAGCAGGUUAAUACCCCGCUGUUCUGACGGUACCCAAAGAAUAAGCACCGGCUAACUUCGUG
rnacentral:rRNA from 1 species